rnacentral:misc_RNA from 1 species
GGCUGUUGAGAAAGAUUAUUUGUGGUAUAAACUGAUACUUAAUAUCAAUUGAGCUGCUGAAGAAACGAGCAUUGAAAUAACUUAAAAUAAUUCCAAGAUUCAUCUGGGCCACACCCAACAAAAUAGACAUCUUCAUCUUCAGAGAAUUCAAAAAAGGAAGCUCUGAACGGCUGCCUCUCCAGCUUGGAUCCACGCCAAAUGGAUAUGGAUCCUUGUAUUUUAUUAAACCAAC